GCCUUUGGUUGUUGUCUUCACUUUGGUCAGGUUGUUGUCUCUUUGACAUAUUCCCCAUUCAUUCUCAAUUUUAUGUAGAUGUGCAUAUGGUCAGCAAGUUGUUAUUCAAUUUUUUUUUAAUACUGUUGUCUUCACAACUCCUCUGAAAACUACUCAACAGAAUUUUAUGAAAUUUGUAGUUAAAGGGGAUAUAAUAUGUAGUUG
rnacentral:lncRNA from 1 species